GAUAUUGGGGGUGAAAUGUUAUCUCAUUGUGGCUUUGAUUUGCAUUUCUCUAACGGCUAGCGACUGGGAGGAUUUUCUCAUGUGUCCGUUUGCUGCCUCAGUGUCUUCUUUGAUGAAGUGCCUGUUCGUAUCCUUUGUCCAUUUUUUAACUGGAUUGUUUCUCUUUUUGAUAUUGAGGAGUUGAAAUAUUCUAUAGAUUUUAGAGAUCAGACCCUUGUCAGAUAUAUCAUAGCCAAAAUUUUUUUCCCAUUCUGUAGGUUCUCUUUUUACUCUUUUGGUGAAGUAUUUUAUGAGCGUUAGUAGUUUAUUUUUAGAAGAUCCCAUUUAUCUAGCUUAUCUUUUGGUGUUUUUGUAUUGUUAAUUAUGGUGUAUAUGCUGUUUAUACCAUAUAUUAGGGCCCCUAGUGUUGAUCCUAUUUUUUCUUCCAUGAACUUUAUAGUUUUUGGUUUUAUAUUUAGGUCUUUGAUCCGUUUCAAAUUAGUUGUUGUGUAUGGUGUUAGGUAUGGGUCCUUUUUCAUUUUUUCCUUGAUGGACAUCCAAUUUUUCCAGCAUCAUUUAUUAAAAAGACUGUCUUUCCCUCACUUACUGGACUUUGGGCCUUUUGUCAAAGAUCAAGUGGCCAUAGGUAGAUGGAUUUACAUCGGGGUUCUUGAUUCUGUUCCAUUGGUCAACGUGUCUGUCAGUGUACCAGUACCAGGCUGUUUUGACUACCAUGACUGUAUUGUAGGUUCUAAGAUCAAGUAAUGCGAGGUUUCCUACUUUGUUCUUUUUCUUCAGUAAUGCUUUGCUUAUCCGGGGCCUCUUUCCUUUCCUAUAAAGUUAAUGAUUAGUUUUUCCAUCUCAUUAAAGAAUGCUGUUGGUAUUCGGAUCAGGAUUUCAUUGUACUUGUAGAUUGUAAUGGGUAGAAUUGACGUUUUCACAAUGUUGAGUCUACCUACCCACAAGUGUGGUGUGUUUUUCCAUUUAUAUAGGUCUCUUUUGAUUUCUUGCAGUAGUGUUUUAUAGUUUUCUUUGUAUAGGUCUUUUACAUCCCUGGUUAGGUUUAUUUCUAAGUUUUUUUUGUUUAUUUUUUAGGGGCUGUUAUAAAUGUUAUUGCUUUCCUGAUUUCCUUUUUUGUAGUUCUCUUUAUUGGUAUACAGGAAUCCAACUAAUUUUUGAGUGUUUAGCUUGUAUUCUGUUAUUCUGCUGAAUCUAUUAGUUCUAGUAGUUUUCUUGUGGAGCCUUUAGGCUUCUCUAUAUUAUCAUAUUGUCUGCAAUUGAAAUCUUCCUAAAACCAAAUGAUAGUCUAGCUUAACUAGUAAAAAAGUCUGCCUUGAUCAUUAUGGCCUUUUAAGAACCAUUUUGUUUUUGUGUGCCGUCGAAUCGAUUCUGACUCAUGGCGACCCUAUAGGACAGAGUAAAACUGCCCUAUAGGGUUUCCAAUGUGUGGCUGGUGGAUUCGAACUGUUGACUUCUUGGUUAGCAGCCUGAACUCCUAAUCACUGUGCCAUCAGGGCUCCAAGAACUAUCUAUAUGGUAUCAGUGUGACAGCAGAAACUCGCAAGAUUAGGUAGGAACCUUCAGGGGCAGUGAGUUUAUGUUAAUGGGGGAGGAACAACUCAGAAAAGGAGGGUGAGAAUUGUUGCACAACUCCAAGAAUGUAAUCAAUGUCACUGAAUUGUACAUGUAGAAACUGUUAAAUUGGUGUCUGUUUUGCUUAUAUUCUCAACAAAAGCCAGUGUUUGGUCCUAAAAAUCCAUGGGAAUCUGCAUUUUGCUCUAUGAUCCUACCAUAUUGGUUUUAAUGUAGAAAUAAUUGUUUCCACACAUCACGGGUAACACAGACACCCCAGGAAGGUGCCUCAGCUUCUGGAGGCUGCACGGUUCUGCACUCAGCACCCUUAGUGGCAAAAGUGCACAACCUGGUCUGAGACGCUGAUUGCUAAAUGGCCUGGGCUAUAGAUAUGCCUCCCAAGAGAGAGAGGAGAACAUGAGGUUGGUUUCCUCCCCUUCAUUGAUGCCCUCGUCAAUGCCAAGUAAGACGACCUUCCUUGGGGUUCAGUAAGAAGUGUCUUGGUUUGCCCAAUGCAUUUCAAUUUGCUUCCAAACAUAUGUCCUUAUCAAAUUACCGUGAAUAACUUUCCAUGCUUCUGAAGUCGAAUAUUACAUAACACAGCCACACUGUAUCUGAGCCAUCGUUCCCCUUUAGAAACGGGGAAAUAGAAACUCGGGGGCACUGGGGCAGGGCAGCGUGUGGUGGCUGAAAGCCUCAGCUCUCAGUCAAGUUCUGUUCUGCUCCUAUCUCCUUGGGUGAUGGCCUAACCUCUUCAUGCCUCACUGUCCACACCUGAAAGGGUGAUAACAAUAGAACAUCUGUCAUUGUGGGAUUUGUGUGCCAUAACAGGCAAAGCACCACAGCUAUAGCUGCAUGCAGUAAUUGCUCUAUAAAUGCCCACCGUUGGCAUCAUGGACUAGAACUGGUGUGUGCUGCUUCAUCACCCAGGGUUUGUCCCAUUCUAUGGAGACCUUCCAGGGCCUUCUCCCGAGUCCUGUCUACAUCCUUUUGUCUUAAAAAAAAUUUUAUUAUGCUUUAGGUGAAGGUUUACAGAGCAAAUAUUUUCCCAUUCAAUCAUUUGUACACAGAAUGUUCCAGGGUAUUGGUUGCGGUCUUCUCAAUGUGUCAGUACUCUCCCCAUUUCCACCCUGGGUUCCCUGUUACCUCUUGUCCAGUUUUUCUGCUGCUUCCUACCUUCUUCUCAUCUUUGCUUUUGGGCAUAUUUUACCCUUUUGGUGUCAUAUAAUUAACUGUUCUAAGGAGCUUGUUCCUCUUCGGUGUUGUUUGUUUUACAGGACUGUAUAUUGUUUUGCUGAAAGGUGGUCUCUGGGAAUGGCUUCAGUUCCAUGUUAGAAAGAUGUCUUAGGACCAUAGUCUGGGAAUUCUUCCAGUCUCUACCAGACCAGCAAGUCUGGUCUUUCUUAUGGAUUUGAUUUUUGUUCUACACUGUUCUCCUGCUCUCCCCGGGACCCUCUAUUGUGUUCCUGGUCAGAGCAGCUGUCGACAUCCUUUUGGCUUUCAGGGGAGUCAUGCAGUCCAGGCUUAGCAUCCUUGCCGUUCAGGGUGCAGAGCUGUGCUUGGGUGGGCAGUGGAGGGAGGCUGUGCUGGGAGGACCCUGCCUGUGCCGUCUCAGCCCUUUCUGCCCAUGGCCAAGCACCACCAGCAGAGAGAGUCCUUCCUGCUCUGACCCUGGGCUCUGUGGCCUCCAUGUUUGUGGGGACAGCCACAGGGUUAGGGAUGUGUGUCGGGAGGGUGGUGCCCAGGGGUGGAUUAACCAGUAAGCAAGGUAUGCAUGGGUUUACUUGUGCUUACUUACUAAUCUGCAGUGCACAAUUUCACGUGUUUUUCACCAUAUCAAAGAUGUGGUGAAACCCAUGUGAAACUGUGGACUACAGAUUCGUUAAGUAAAUACUAGUAAGCCUGUGCGUACCUUGCUUAUUGGGUAAUCCAUCCCUGGUUAGUGUCUCAAAAGCCACGGGAAUAAGCAGGGCAUGCUUUUUUGGGUCAUCAUUUUCACUCAAAGUUUUGGAAAAAAGUUCUUAUUGUUUAUAAGCAAAAAAAACAUGACCUAGAAUAAAAAGCUCAAAUCGAUUUUAAAGAGAAAACAUGAGACUUCAAAGAUUUGCAUUGGGGACAGUUUGAGCUGUGUCCCCCGACCUUGGGAGGGGCUUAUUCUUCUCUGUCUGAAGCUGCCUGAAGAAUAAGUCAGCAGCAACACAUAUUUGUUGAGUACCUACUGCGUGCAAGGCACUAGGCUAGACACCAAGGGGACAGGAGAUGUGACAUACAGCUCCUGCUUGCAAGGGUCUUGUGGUCCAGAUGAAGAGAGGGGCUUUAGAUUCAUCUUCAUCAUUGUCAUCAUCAACGGCAACAUCAACAUUUUCUUCUCCUCCUCCUACCCCCUUUUCUGUUUUCUUCCUCCUCACGCCCCUAUCCCACCUUCAUAAGCUCCUAAACAGCUGUGUCUGUUUUGCUCCCUGCUAUAAUCCCAGUCUCUGCGACAUUGCCUGGCACAUUUGUUGUUAGCUGCCAUUGAAUUGGCUCUGACUCAUGACGACCUUGUAUAUAACAGAAGGAAACAUUGCCUCAUCCUGCGCCAGCCCCACACUUGUUAGUAUGUCACUAGCGCAGCCUCAAGUGGGAUGUGAGACCAGAGGGUGCGCCCUGAGGCUGCCUCAUUCGGGGUGGCUUGGUUUGGCUCCUUUCUGGGGCACUGAGACAAUCCAGUGUAGAAAUACCAGAGGGCGCUGGCUGGAGUCGGCCACGUGUAGCCAGAGAGUGUGUUCAAAAAGAGUUUGUGACUUCUUGCCAGGCAGCACGGUGGCUCCUGGUGCUGCCCAAGUGUCUCUGCUGUGCUGUGGCCAUGCUGGGCCAAAGGGGCUCAUGGGGCUUUCCCUGGAUCAGGAGCCCACUAGGGAGUUUGGGAGGUGUCUCUUCACUCUCUGAGGUCACCUGUGCAGGCGUCACAAGGCUUAUGGGAGGACUUCCCCAGCCAUGAGGGCCUCCAUUUCCUCAAACCUCCUGUGGCCUCUUUGGAAAACACCAGUUGGGUUCUUCCUGCCCCGGGAGAGCCAGCCAUCCUGGGAUGGCAAGGGGACAAGCUGGAGAAGCGGAGGUGCCCACAUCUCCAUGUGCUGUGAAUGCACUGUAUGGCCAAGCUGAAGGUCAAGGUGGACAAUAUUUGUAACACGUCUACAUGAAAUUGGCCACAGGAAGGAAGCCCUGUUCAAGAAGCUAUUUUUUGAACAUCCCUUUAUACUCGAUUUCACAACAAGCAUACAUUUAUGUGAAGAGACUGAGACUUCAUGCCCUCAAUGGCAGCUAUAAUUUGGAAGUCAAAUGCUAAAAGGAAGCAGUUCUAGCUUGUGUGUGAUUCCCAAAGACGGAGUGGACCUGACUAUGUGUGGUCUGUCUGCCCUCUGAUGACAAGCAGCGGGGAAGCCCAGCCUGGGAGACCAGUAAGCCCAGUUUCUGUCUGCUGCGGAUUGCUUCUGACAGAGGAAUCCUCUGGCAAAAUGAAAUUGAAAUCUCACUUCCCCACUGGUGGCCUCCCGGUGCCUGUGUAUGUGGACAUGCCCUUGCUUACAGACUCCUAUUGGUUGCAUGUGCCGAUGCUGUUAUGGGGAGUCAGCUUUGCUGAGGUAUCAUUUACAUACUAUAAAACUCGUUAAUUUUAAGUGUACAACUUGAUGAAUUUUGACAGAUGUGUAUAGUUAUGUAACCAUUGCAAUCAUGAUGUCGAAUAUCUCCACCAUCCCCAAAAAUUCCCUCAUGGCCCUUUGCAGUUAACCCCUUCCAUCUACCCCAGGCCUCCUGGCAACUAUCAGUCUGCUUUCAAUCACUGUGGUUUUGGUUUUUCAGUUAGCAGCUGAGGAUGUUAACAAUUUGCACCACCAGGGAUGUGUUUGUAUAUAAUGUAUAUAAAUUAUUUUGUGUCUCACCUCUUAAAUUUAAUAUAAUGCUUUUAAGAUUCAGACAUAUUGUUCCAUGUACCAGUAGUUCAUUCCUUUUAUUGCUGAAUAGUAUUCCUUUGUGUGGAUAUAUCACAUAUUGUUUAUCCAUUCACCAGUUGAUGAACAUUUGAAUUGCUUCCAGUUUUUGGAGAUUAUGAAUAAAGCUGCCACAAGUAUUUUAGAGGAUCCCUGGUGGCACAGUGGUUAAAGCACUCAGCUGCUGGUAAAAGGUUGGUGGUUCGAACCUACUAGCCACUCUGCAGGAGAAGGGUGAAUCAAUGUGCUUUCACAAAGACUACAACCUUGGAAACCCUGUGGGGCAGUUCUACUCUGUCCUAUACGGUCGCUAUGAGUCAGAAUCAAUUCAAUGGCCAUGGGUUUGGUUUUGGUUUAAGCAUUUGUUUACAUAAUGUAGACGUGUGUUUUCAUUCUUCUGGGUAAAUACCUAGGAAUGGAAUUGCUGGACCAUGUGGUCAGUUUAUGUUUAACUUCUUAAGAAACCGCCAAAAUAUUUUCCAAAGUGGCUGUACCAUUUUGUAUUCCCACCAGCUGUGUAUGAGAGGUUCAGUUGCUCUACAUCUUUGCCAAGACUUGGCACUGUGUGUCUUUUUAACUUUAACCAUUCUAGUGAUCACGUAGGUAUAUCUCAUUGUGGUUUAAUUUGUAUUUCUCUGAUGGCCAAUGAUGUUCUCAUGCGCUUGUAUGCCAACUGUAUAUCUUCUUUGAUGAAUUGUCAAAUCAUUAGCCCGUUUUUAAAAAUUAGGUUGUUUGUUUUCUUAUUAUUGAGACACAAGAGAUUUUUAUAUACUCUAGAAACAAGUUCUUUGUCAGAUAUAUAUUUUGCAAAUAUUCUCUGUGACUUGCCUUUUCAUUUUCUUAGUAGUGUCAUCUGAAUAGCAAAAUUUUAUUUGAUCAAUUCUAUUUAUCGAUUUUUUCUUUUAUAGUUUAUGCUUUCUGUGUCCUAUUUAAAACUUUUUGUCUAACCUGAGAUCACUUACAGCAUGUUUAUUCUAUGCUCCUGGGAGUGCCUGGUGGGUGGGCCACAGGCUGAUCCAUCUGUAAUCCCCACGUCCUUUCCUCCCCCUUGGUAGUACCAGGCUCCUGUUGGUCUUCCUGAUUCUCCUGUGUCUUGCUUUGUUUAUCCCUCCAUUACUUCCAUCCUUUCUCAAAUGUACACUUUAAAAAAUGUAACUUCGAUAAAAUGUAUAUAACAUAAAAUUGGCCGUUUUAACUCUUUUUUUGUGUACAGUUUAGUGGCAUUAAUUAUAUUCACCUUGUUGUGCUACUAUCACCAGUAUUUAUUUAUAAAACUUUUUCAUCACCCCAAACAGAAAUUCAGUGCCUGCUAAGUAAUGACUCCCCUUUCCCCCUGUCCCGAACCCCUAACCUCCUUCCUCUGUCUAUGAAUUUGCCUAUUCUGGUUACUUCAUGUAAGUGGGAUCACUAAAUGCAGACUUUUAAAUUCCCUCUUCUUCUAUUUCUUUCAAAUCUUGCCCAUUUACCCCUAGAAAACCAGCCUGCUCUUUAUGAAGCGCAACCCCUCACAACAUCGUUUCUCAGACUGAUAAGCUAAGAGGGGUGUUAGUGAUAAAAGUGGUUUUAAAGCAAAGAAAACUGUAAGCUUUGAAGUGAGACACUAGAGGUAAGAGCUAGCUGGUAACAACAACCAUGAGUACUUCUGAAAGUGACCAGAUGUCCACCUGAAAUCGUGCCAAAGUUGGUGUGCACUUGCUUGUCUUUCUCUAAUUACAUCUUUUUGUCAAGUAUUUGCAAUUGAGACAAGUACUUGUGUAGGCAGAAUAACAGUCCCCCAAAGAUGUCCACAUCCCAAUCCCCAGAACCUGUGAAUGUAUUAGGUUACACGGUAUCUUAGGCUGGGUUCUCUAGAGAAGCAAAACCAGUAAAGCAUAUAAAUACAUAUACAGAGAGAUUUAUACCAAGGAAAUGGCUCACGAGGUUGUAGAGGCUGUAACAUCCCAAGUCUGUGGAUCAGGAUAGAGGCUUCUCCUGAUUCACAUAGCUGCAGGGGCUGAUGAACUCAAGAUCAGCAGGUCAGAGAGCAGGGCUCUCGCUCACAGCCUGGGAAAAUCAAUGAAUCCCAAGAUUGGCAGACAAGACCAAAAGUAAGCUGCUAGUUCAAGUCCCAAGAAUCAGGGGUCAGAUGAACUGACCUUAAAAUAGUGUGAUUAUUCUGGAUUAUCCUGAUGGGCCCAGUGUAAUCAAAAACCAAACCAAACUCUUUGUCAUCGAGUUGAUCCCGGGCCAUAGUGACCCUACAGGAUAGAAGAGAACUGGCCCAUGGGGUUUCCAAGGCUGUAAUCUUUAUGGAAGCAGACUGCAACAUCUUUCUUCUGUGGAGAGGCUGGUAGGUUCAAACCGUUGACCGUUAGGUUAGCAGGCGAAUGCGUAACUACUGUGCCACGAAUCACAAGGGCCCCUAAAAGUGGAAGCGGGAGGCAGGGGAGAGAGUCAGAGGGAGACGUGAAUAUGGAAGAACAGUCAGAGAGAUAUGACGUUACUGGCUUUGAAGAUAUUAGAAGCUGUAAAAGGCAAGGAAACGAGUUCUUCCCUGGAACUUCCAGUAAGGGCUGCAGCCCUACUGACACCUUGGUUUUAGCCCAGGGAGAGCUGGGGUAGACUUCUUAUCUACCAGACUGUAAGGUAAUAAAUUUGCAUUGUGUUAAGCCUCUAAUAGUUUGAUAAUUUGUUACAGUAGCAAUAGAAAACAUAUACAUUACUUAGCCAUUUCUUGCUCAUUUUUUUCCUUCCUUGUUUCUUAGAAUGGUAACAGAACUGCAUUGCAAACUUACCUGUUUUCCUUUCACGUACUCUGAGAGUUUACCCACUGUUUUAAAGAUUGUUUUUACAAGUAGAAAACAACUGCAAUGGAAUUUUUUUGGCAUAACCUAUGAUUAAAUUGACAUUUUUUUCUAUCUGAAUCUGUGUGACACAAUGCCAGAUUAUACAGGCAUUCUUUAGACAUAUUACUAAAACUCACUGAAGACCACUGAACUUACAAAAUGUCGAAGAAAAGUUGGUUAUGUGCUAGAGAGAAGCACUUUAUUCUGUGUUAUUAUGGAGGACAGGCCUUAUUUCAAUAUUUGGAUAUUAAGUUGGAACAGAUUUUGUCAAAACUCAACAGAGAAUUUGCUAACCAUUAAACUGCUAAAAAAAAAAUGCUUUAUGAGAUAGCAAAUUUCUUUUUACUGGAAUAAUUCAAAGAAGCUGUCAAGGGUGUUAUGGAGGGGAUUCCUGCCAGGGUGGGAAUUUAUGUGAGGUCACUCCUACAGUCCUUUCCAACACAAAGAUGGUGAGAUUUGAUAAUCUUGUAGAGCCUGAAAUCUUGGUUUUCUUGCUCUGAUGGCCCAAUGCCCCAUCCCAGUUGUCCGGUUCUUCCAGAGAAAUAGAUCAUGGGAAAUUAGGGCUGGCAGGGUCCUUGGGAACUCAGCUUGCUCUUUUUACAGAUGUUGAGUUGAUUAGUCCAAGGUCACACAGCUAGUCAAUGGCAAGGGCAGAACUGGAACCCGGCUUUCUGAUCUUUCUAGCUGCUCAGUUGUCUGGAUCAAUCACACCCAUACUACCAACCUGCAAACUAGACUUGUUAUUCUUUUCCUUGCCAGCCUUGUCAUCUUUUGGGGACUGUGAGGAAAAAUGGGGCCAGCCAUCAUUUCCAAUUUCUUUUCCUUACUUUUCUCCUUAGCUCUCAUUGAUCCUGGGAGCCUGUCACCACAUUUCUUUCCUGUUAUCAAUUCUUCUAAUCCUUAUUAAAAAAAUUUUUUUUUGCGGUAAAAUAUAUAUAACAACAAGUGUACCAUCUUAACCAUUUUAAGUGUACAAUUCAAUGACAUUAAUUACAUUCCCCAUGUUGUGCUACCAUUACCACCAUCCAUUUCCAAAAGUUUUUCAUCACCCCAACAGAAACUCAUUGCUCUUUCAGCAAUAACUCCACAUACUCCUUCGUCCUAGAUCCUGGUAACUUCUAAUAAACUUUGGUCUCUAUGCAUUUGCCUAUUUUAGUCUUUUCUUUUAAGUGGGAUUAUAGAGUAUUUGUCCUUUUGUGCCUGACUUAUUUCACUCACUAUAAUGUUUUCAAGGUUCAUCCAUGUCGCAGCAUGUUUCAGUACUUUGUACCUCUUUAUGGUUGAAUUCUAACCCCCAUUUUUGGUGGGGAGGCGAAUAUGUAUACCAUGACUGUCUGGGUCUUGGAGUUAGUCUGUUAACUCCAGGAAAUACUUUCAACCUUUAAACUGAGAUUUGCUAAGCCAUGAUCACAAUUAAGUAAAAAUUAUACAGGAAAGGAGCAGCAGAAAGUGCGAACAGUUGACUUGUUAGAGUGGCGGGAACGAGGAGUGAUUUGCUUUCUUCUUUUUACGUUUUUCAGGAUUGUUGUGUCAUUAAUUUUUAAUUAAUUACAAACUGCUGUGAGAAAUAUACCUAACUGUGUACAGGCUCCACUCUUUAUCUUUUAGGUCAGAAAAAUAAUGCUUGAGAGCAGAAGGCUGCACAGCUGUUGCAUCUGCUAAGUGUGAAUGAAAUUUAGAAAAUAAAAGUGAGAUUACUUAACAUUGUUUGGGAAAUGUUAGUCAUUGUAAUUAGGAAAGGGAAGCCAGACUUAUAAACACAGGGAAAGAACAGCCCCUUUUUGUGGAUGAUGUAAGUACAUGUAUCAUCAUACUAAUUAAUAACUGAUAUUAAUAACAAUAAGGGAGGUCCAUAGGUUGGCCAGUUAUAAAACAAGUACUCAGGAGUCAAUGUCUUCUUUUUAAACUAAUGAUGAUAAUUAGAAAAUGUAACAGAAAAAAGAUCCCAUUCACAAUAACAACAAAAUGCAUGCAAAAGCUAGGGAAAAAUUCACGAAAAUUGUGCAGGACCCCAAAUGAAAAGAAUUGAAGAUGCUCUACUACAGGACGUAAAAGAUACUUCGUUCUUGGGUUGUUGUUGUUAGGUGACAUCGAGUCAGUUCUAACCCUUAGCAACUACAUGUACAACAAAACGAAGCACUGCCCAGUCCGGUGCCAUCCUCACAAUCAUUAUGCUCGAACCCAUUUGUGAUGAUUAAGGUUGUGUUGUCAACUUGGGUGGGCCAUGAUUCUAAGUGGUUUGGCAGUCAUAUGAUGUUGUGAUCACUUCCAUGAUGAGAUUUUAUGUAAUGUGAUUACCUCCGUGAUGGGAUCUGCUGUGAGUAGCCAAUCAGUUGGAAGGGAGUUUCCUUGGCCAUGAGGCCUGCAUCAAGUGUAAGUGGACAUUCUGGCAAGGCUCAUGGGCUUUUGCUUACUCUAGAUCCUGCAGCUGGCUCCUGUUUGUCUGACCUCCUGUUCUUGGGACUUGAGCUAGCAGCUUACCUGUGGUCUUGCCUGCUAAUCUUGGGAUUCUUCAGUCUUCUCAGCCUGUGAGCAAGAGCCCUGCUCUUUGACCUGCUGAUCUUGGGUUCACCAGCCCCCAUGGCUACGUGAAUAAGGAGAAGCCUCAAUCCUGAUCUACAGACUUGGGACGUUCCAGCCUCUACAACUUUGUGAGCCGUUUCCUUGAUAUAAAUCUCUCUCUCUUUAUAUUCGUGUGCUUUACUGGUUUUGCUUCUCUAGAGAACCCAGCCUAAGACAAAAGUGUUGCAGCUGCUGUGUCAGUCCAUCUCAUCAAGGGUCUUCCUCUUUUUUGCUGACCGUCUGCUUUAGCAAGCAUGAUGUCCCCCUCCAGGGAGUGGUCCCUCCUGAUAACAUGUCCAAAGUAUACGAGUCUCACCAUCAUUACUUCUAAGGAGCAUUCUGGCUGUUCUUCUUCCAAGACAGAUUUGUUUAUUCUUCUGGCAGUCCGUGGUAUAUUCAGUAUUCUUUUCCAAAACCAUAGUUGAAAGGUAUCAAUUCUUUGGUUUUCCUUAUUCAUUGUCUAGCUUUGGCACGCAUACGAGGAGACUGAAAAUACCAUGGCUUGUGACAUGUCCCGGGAUUAGCAACCAAUGUCACAAAACAAUAUGUGUACUAAUUGUCUAAUGAGAAACUAGUUCACUCCAUAAACCUUAAUCUAAAAUAGAGUAAAAAAAAUUAAGAAAAGAAAAUACCAUGGCUUGGGUCAGGCGCACUUUAGUCCUCAAGGUGACAUCUUUGCCUUUGAACACUUUAAAGUGGUUUCUUGUGGCAGAUUUGCCCAAUGCAAUGUGUCAUUUGAUUUCUUGACUGUUGCUUCCUUGGGUGUUGACUGUGGAUCCAAGUGAAAUGAAAUCCUUGACAACUUCAAUAUUUUCUCCAUUUAUCAUGAUGUUGCUUAUUUGUCCAGUUGUGAGGAUUUUUGUUUUCUUUAUGUUGAAAUGCAAUCCAUACUGAAGGCUGUCUUUGAUCUUCGUCAGUAAGUGCUUCAAAUCCUCUUUGCUUUCAAGCAAGCAAGGUUGUGUCAUCUACAUAUGGCAAGUUGUUAAUGAGUCUUCCUCCAGCCUUCAUGCUCCGUUCUUCUUCAUAUAGUCCAGCUUCUUGGAUUGAUACGUUUCAACAAACGGAUGCAGCGAUGGAAGUACUCACUCAUUUAUGCCAAGAAAUUUGGAAAACAACUUCCUGGGCAACUGACUGGAAGAGAUCCAUAUUUGUGCCCAUGCCAAAGAAACGUGACCCAACAGAAGGCAGAAAUUAUCGAACAAUAUCAUUAAUAUCACAUACAAGUAAAAUUUUGCUGAAGAUUAUUCAAAAGCAUUUGCAGCAGUACAUCGACAGAGAACUGC